rnacentral:rRNA from 1 species
GGUGGGACGACGUCAAGUCAGCAUGUACCUUUAUAUCCGAGGGCUACACACACGCUACAAUGGUCAGUACAAUGGGUUGCCAAGCCGCGAGGCGGAGCCAAUCCUAAAAAGCUGGCCUCAGUUCAGAUUGCAGUCUGAAACCUCCGACUGCAUGAAGUCGGAGUUGCUAGUAAACGCAGGUCAGCUAUACUGCGUUGAAUACGUUCCCGGGGCUU